GAUGAACGCUGACAGAAUGCUUAACACAUGCAAGUCGAUGGGGAAGUGGGGUUUGCACCAGGUUACCCAUGGGGGACGGGGGGGUAAGGCGAAAGAAACUGGCCUCCGGGACUGGGUUAACACAAGGAAACGGUGGAUAUAACAGGAUAAGGUAUUUAGUCUGCAUAGCUUGGUGAUGAAAGGAGACGCCUGCGGAGAGCCUUGCGUCCUAUUAGCAAGUUGGAGGGGUAACGGCCCACCAAGGCGAAGUUAGGUAGCCGGCCUGAGAGGGUGGACGGCCACAAGGGGACUGAGAUACGGCCCUUACUCCUACGGGAGGCAGCAGUGGGGAAUAUUGGACAAUGGGGGCAACCCUGAUCCAGCAAUUCUGUGUGCACGAAGACGGUUUUCGGAUUGUAAAGUGCUUUCAGCAGGGAAGAAGGAAGUGACGGUACCUGCAGAAGAAGCGACGGCUAAAUACGUG
rnacentral:rRNA from 1 species